rnacentral:rRNA from 1 species
GUGCCAGCAGCCGCGGUAAUACGUAGGUGGCGAGCGUUGUCCGGAAUUACUGGGUGUAAAGGGCGUGUAGGCGGGGAUGUAAGUCAGAUGUGAAAUACCCAGGCUUAACUUGGGAACUGCAUCUGAAACUACAUUUCUUGAGUAUCGGAGAGGAAAGUGGAAUUCCUAGUGUAGCGGUGAAAUGCGUAGAUAUUAGGAGGAACACCAGUGGCGAAGGCGACUUUCUGGACGAUAACUGACGCUGAGGCGCGAAAGCGUGGGGAGCAAACAGGAUUAGAUACCCUGGUAGUCCACGCUGUAAACGAUGGAUACUAGGUGUGGGAGGUAUCGACCCCUUCCGUGCCGGAGUUAACACAAUAAGUAUCCCACCUGGGGAGUACGGCCGCAAGGUUGAA